UCUCCGUAGGUGAACCAGCGGAAGGAUCAUUAUAGUAUAGCCAAACUCCGAGCCCUGGUGCUGCUCCGUAACCGCGUCCACGCCGGAUUGCCCCCGCACAACUCGAUCCCACCCCGAUCUGCGCCCCCGCGUGGGUCCCCAUCUGGCAUAAGAACAGGAGGGCUUACCUUUUCACACAACCCUUGUUUACUUUGUCGAUAGUAUUAAAUUUUUUUGAGAUCACGCCUUCAUUAUAACUUUCAACAACAGAUCUCUUGGCUGUCGCAGCGCAGGAGAACA
rnacentral:misc_RNA from 1 species